rnacentral:rRNA from 1 species
UACGGAGGGUGCAAGCGUUAAUCGGAUUUACUGGGCGUAAAGCGCGCGUAGGCGGCUUGUUAAGUCGGAUGUGAAAGCCCUGGGCUCAACCUAGGAACUGCAUUCGAUACUGGCGAGCUAGAGUACGGUAGAGGGUGGUGGAAUUUCCUGUGUAGCGGUGAAAUGCGUAGAUAUAGGAAGGAACACCAGUGGCGAAGGCGGCCACCUGGACAGUAACUGACGCUGAGGCGCGAAAGUGUGGGUAGCAAACAGG